rnacentral:misc_RNA from 1 species
UCCAAUAUCAAGAGGAAUGAAACUGAGAAUUAUAGAAAACCAGUGCCUGCAUGACAGUGGUGCAAGAGAUUAUGAGCAAUAGCAUCCCUGGCCUUCAUUGAAUUUACUGAUCUAAUAGCAACCUCAGGCACCGUCUCAUCAUCAACAAGCUCAAUAUUCAGCUUUGGAUCCAGUUCCUCUUCACGCAUUUCACAGAUAUUAUGCAACACACAGCAU